AUUGAACGCUGGCGGCAUGCUUUACACAUGCAAGUCGAACGGCAGCGCGGGCUUCGGCCUGGCGGCGAGUGGCGAACGGGUGAGUAAUACAUCGGAACGUGCCCAGUAGUGGGGGAUAGCUCGGCGAAAGCCGGAUUAAUACCGCAUACGACCUGAGGGUGAAAGCGGGGGAUCUUCGGACCUCGCGCUAUUGGAGCGGCCGAUGGCAGAUUAGCUAGUUGGUGGGGUAAAGGCCUACCAAGGCGACGAUCUGUAGCUGGUCUGAGAGGACGACCAGCCACACUGGGACUGAGACACGGCCCAGACUCCUACGGGAGGCAGCAGUGGGGAAUUUUGGGCAAUGGGCGAGAGCCUGAUCCAGCAAUGCCGCGUGUGUGAUGAAGGCCUUCGGGUUGUAAAGCACUUUUGGCGGGAACGAAAAGGACUGUGCCAAUACCACGGUUCGAUGACGGUACCCGCAGAAUAAGCACCGGCUAACUACGUA
rnacentral:rRNA from 1 species